rnacentral:lncRNA from 1 species
GAUUCCGUCCUUAGCAUCAGGAAAGAAAAGACCCGGCUUGUGAGCUCCUUGUCCCACCUUCUUUCACUCCAGACGUCCAUCUCCAUCUUUCUCCAUCAGGGACUUUCUGGGCAGGACACUUCCUUGAUCACAUCCCCAGUUUUCCACCCAGGACUUUGUGAAAACUCCUCCAGGCCUGGCUCUUGGGUGCUGGACCUUCUCUUGCGUGGUUAGUUGUAAAACUUGAUGCUUCUGCAGGCAGAUGAUGGCAGAAAGCUCCCACCCCACCACGCUGAUGACGGCAGAAAGCUCCCGCCCCACCACGCUGAUGACGGCAGAAAGCUCCCGCCCCACCACGCUGAUGAUGGCACUCUCGUUGGGUGGUUGUGUGGUCUUCAUACAAUUUCAGGGUAAAUCGCCACUUGAUGUCAUUGCUAAAUGGGAUACCUGAGCUAUGAUGAUUUUGCCUGAUUGUUAAAGUUAGUAUUUUAAGACCAAAGAUGGACAAAAUACGUUAAAAUUGUCUGUAAAAAGGCACAUUUCUGAAUUUGCUUUUAAUACUUUAAAAGA